GCAAGUCGAGGGGUAGCAGGGAGCUUGCUCCGCUGACGACCGGCGAACGGGUGCGUAACGCGUAUACAAUCUACCUUAUACAGGAGAAUAGCCCUAAGAAAUUGGGAUUAAUACUCCAUAGUAUUUAUUUACCGCAUGGUAAAUAACUUAAAACUACGGUGGUAUAAGAUGAGUAUGCGUCCUAUUAGCUAGAUGGUAAGGUAACGGCUUACCAUGGCAACGAUAGGUAGGGGGCCUGAGAGGGUUAUC
rnacentral:rRNA from 1 species